rnacentral:rRNA from 1 species
CCUACGGGCGGCAGCAGUGAGGAAUAUUGGUCAAUGGGCGGAAGCCUGAACCAGCCAAGUAGCGUGCGGGAUGAAGGCCCUACGGGUCGUAAACCGCUUUUGCACGGGGAUAACACCCUCCACUUGUGGUGGUCUGCAGGUACCGUGCGAAUAAGGGCCGGCUAAUUCCGUGCCAGCAGCCGCGGUAAUACGGAAGGCCCGAGCGUUAUCCGGAUUCAUUGGGCUUAAAGGGAGCGUAGGCGGGCGUUAAAGUCAGCUGGAAAAUUGCGCGGUUAAACCGGGCACCGCAGUUGAAACUGGAGGUCUAGAGUUCACAACAGGCAGGGGGAAUGCAUGGUGUAGCGGUGAAAUGCAUAGAGAUCA